UACGUAGGGUGCGAGCGUUAAUCGGAAUUACUGGGCGUAAAGCGUGCGCAGGCGGUUCGCCAAGUCAGGUGUGAAAUCCCCGGGCUUAACCUGGGAAUUGCGCUUGAAACUAGCGGGCUUGAGUGCGGCAGAGGGGGGUGGAAUUCCACGUGUAGCAGUGAAAUGCGUAGAUAUCUGGAGGAAUACCGGUGGCGAAGGCGGCAUCCUGGACCGAGAUUGACGCUGAGGAGCGAAAGCCAGGGGAGCAAACGGG
rnacentral:rRNA from 1 species